rfam:Echinostoma caproni strain Egypt genome assembly, scaffold: ECPE_contig0000566
CUGCUGAUGAGGAGACCAAACCAGGUCGAAACAGCUGUCCAGUGC